rnacentral:rRNA from 1 species
GAUGAACGCUAGCUACAGGCUUAACACAUGCAAGUCGAGGGGCAGCAUGAACAAAGCUUGCUUUGUUUGAUGGCGACCGGCGCACGGGUGCGUAACACGUAUCCAAUCUGCCCGCGGCUCGGGGAUAGCCCAUCGAAAGAUGGAUUAAUACCCGAUGGCGUGGUCACUCCGCAUGGAGUUUCCACUAAAGGUUUUCCGGCCGCGGAUGAGGAUGCGUAUGAUUAGGUAGUAGGCGGGGUAACGGCCCACCUAGCCUUCGAUCAUUAGGGGUUCUGAGAGGAAGGUCCCCCACACUGGAACUGAGACGCGGUCCAGACUCCUACGGGAGGCAGCAGUGAGGAAUAUUGGUCAAUGGGCGAGAGCCUGAACCAGCCAAGUAGCGUGAAGGAAGACUGCCCUAUGGGUUGUAAACUUCUUUUGUUCGGGAAUAAAGUGCAGUAUGUAUACUGUUUUGUAUGUACCGUUCGAAUAAGCAUCGGCUAAUUCCGUGCCAGCCGCCGCCGUAAAAC